UCACGAUAGAAAAAAAGGUCCCGAAUAGGUGCUGCAUCGCCCCCACCGCUUCGCCUCGAUUGGCACCGGCGAAGGCCACCCCGCCGCUCGACCUCGACUCGCACUGGAGGCGACCACCACCAUCCUCCCUGCUCCCUCCCCUCCCCCAACUCGAUAUGGAUGCCUAACCUGCGGGAACGGGCAGGCGGCCGGCGGGCGAUGUGAGGCGCGGUGGCGGCACGAGGAAGACGGGCAGAUCCGGGCACGGCGUCGACCGAUCUGGCGGCUGGUGCGGCGGCUUGUUCCUGUCCCAACGGCGUCCUGCUCAUCCAUAGAAGGAGAGAGAAGGGCCCGAGGGAGAGAGGAAAUAGAUGAAGAAAGGAGAAGGGGCGAUCACAGGGUGAGGGAGGCAGUCGCCGGCGAUGGCGGCUCCGGUGACUGGUCGACGGGCUUGCUAGGCAAGGCUAAGGAGUACGCUAGGCUGAGAUUCGAUAGAGGGAAGAAGUUGUGGUGGCGGCGAAUUAUGCAGCCAUUGUCUCUCACAACCGCCGGCCCCUGCUCGCGACAUAUCUACUGAAGCCGCCUCUGCCUACUCCGGUGUGUUGCAGCUCCUUACUCUAGCCACAUGUCGCUUGCUCUCCCGCUAGCCUCUGCCUGCUCUAGUCUCGAAGUUGAUGACACCCUAAUGCAAAGCUCCCACAAUCAUCCGCUCCGUCUCAGCGUAAGAAUCAUGCUCGCACAUUACCUGUCAACUAGAUUAGUUCAUUGCGUAUGUGUGUAGCCAUGCUUUAGUUUUAGUAAUCGUUUGAUAUUACAGUUUGGUUACCCUUUUCUGCUUUGUUAGAAAAAACAUGUCCAACUGCAGAAAAGGAGUUUGUAUCCAGCUUGACCUCCAUAGCAGGAAGAUUUUUGUAAUCGUUCUAUCAAUGUUCUAUUAAUGGACAGAGGAGGAGAGCAAUGGAAAUAACACCCCGUCGCGGUCCUGGUGCUUCUCUCCGUGGGUUCGCUUACCUCGGCGUUUGUGGCUUCUACAGGUACGUACUAGACGACUACCCAUUGUUUUUGUUUUCUAUUGACAGUUUGAUCGCUUCAUCAAUCCUUCUAGAGGGUCUUGACAGGAAGGAUUGAGCAGCCACUGUGCUGGAGUAGACUAUGUGACAGGUUUUUUCCUCUCUCUCCUACCCGUGAUUGGUUUCUUUGGUGAAGAAAGCAUCACUAUCUUUCAAUACAUCAUGGAUGCUCAACUUGUAUGUCUACAUGGUACAAGAAUGAAGAUUAACCAUUCAAUCUAUUGAUUCAGAGUGAGACAAGGGUGAAACAGAAUAAGCUCAUUUUUGUGGUGAGUUCCCUAGGCCCCAGAACUAGCAUUUUAAUUACAAAAUUCAGUCUUUGAUCACGUUAUUUCAGUUUCAUUAUAGACCUUAUAAUAUUUUUUAUGCAUUAAUAUAAGGUUUAUAAUAUUUUGUGGAGCAAUCAGUUGUGCAUAGAAAAGAGCUCACCUAAAUUAAUGACACGUUCAUCUUAUCUUCGAUUAAAAAAAUUUGCCCCCUAAUAUUCAGUUCUACUGAGAGUUGUAGAAGGCAAAAAUCCAGCAAAUUAACUCAAGUAAGUGUUUUUGGUAUUUCCCAACGUAAUUAAAAAAUUUCUUCUCAAAAUACGACAUGGUCAUUGUCGGAAAAGAAUAUUUAGCAUGAAUGUAGGUGCUUUCAUAUGAAGCUGGACAUGUUUACAAUGAUCGACCGGAUAUCGUUACACGUGUCCUGAAGUUUAAUGAUUUCUGAGAAGUUGUUAAAAGUGGACAUUUGUUUCAUACAAUUCAAGCAUGUAAGUUAUAUACAUACUGAUUUUGCCCUGCUUUGUUUUAAUCUUUUCAUUUAUAUAAUCUAACUUUGUCCAUCUAUUUCUCUUCCUCUAUUUUUCGGUUAUCCAAGUUUAUACAUGGUGGGGUUCCAGAAUAGAGGCUUGCCUCAUACUCAUACUUCAAUUCGGCUUAUAGGGAACAAUCAUGAGCCUUCGGCCUCCUUCAUAGAUGGUUUGAUUUCGGCUGAGAUACCUGAUCGUUUGGUUGAGCCCUGGGUUAUGCUCUUAUGGAUUAAUUUAUGGUUCACGGUCCAUGUGGAGACUACAAAGUAAAGUGUGCAUGUAUGAAAGAUGGAUUGUGUUCCAAAAGAUUUCCCAAAGAUUUUAAUGAGAAGACAUCGGUUGAUGAUAGAGGCUUUCCUAUAUAUCAUAGACGUGAUUUGGGUUACUAUGUGAGGAACAAGGGUACUGUUAAGCUGGAUAAUCGAUGGGUAGUUUUCAUAUAAUAGUUUUGGUAAUGUAAUUAUUAAUGUAUAUUUCUGCUUGCGAAGCGUACUGGCAUAUGUUUGCUUUCAAUAUACAUGGUCGUGAGCCUGUAGUGGAGAGAUUGGUUGUGCA